AUCCUAAUGAUUCAGUUACGGUUUGUGAACUCCUGAAACUUCCUAAGGUUUUCUUCUUUAAUGUUUUUUUUUCCUCAAAUCCUAUGUGUCCUGUUUACUAAUUCUUCCUUAAGUAAUAGGUUGUGUGGAGAACUCAAUUUCCUUUACAGCUGAUUCUCCCAGGGAACUCCUAUUAAUUUUAUUCAUAUUAACAACAACUUUGAUAAGAAUUGUUACAUUUUCCCAAGCUCUAACCUCCAGUGAGGACCCCUUAACAGCAAGAAAUUCAAAUAUGAACCAUGUCAGAAACACAAACAAAAGCUGUGCAGCAAAUUUCUACCAAGGGCAGUGACUGGUCAGUACAGUUGUCUGAUCACAGGACCUUUGUCAAGCAGUGCCUGAAGGACACUUGGCAUGGCCAUUGGCCCUCUCCUACCCAGCCUACGAUAUGGUAGCUCAAUUCUACACAGAGCAAGUGACUGGAGGGAACACAUGAAGUUCCAGAAUGUCCCACCUCGGAAAAACUCUAAAGAUAAGUGGAAACACAACAAUUACUAAUAAAAUAAUGCCAAUCAUAAUAGCAAGUAGGAUUAUAUAUUGAACCGGAUCCAGGGGAGUCAAUGCAUUUAGGUUGUUUUUUAAAUCUCUGGCCAAUUCAUCAAUGUUCCAAGUGUCCAAGUGACUUUUACUAAUAUCUGAAAUUUCUGCCUUUGUAGCCUUAAUAUUUGCUAUAUCCUGCCCUAUUGCUGAGACUACUACUUCUAAGACAUUAACCUUUGCCUCCAAUUUUUUAUCUAUAAUAAGUUGCUCUGACAAAGCUAUGGAAAUAUUCUUAUGCAUGUCAUUAACAAAAUGAGCAGUAUGCAGCUGCUGAUCUAAAGGUGUGGUAGAUAUUGAAGUUAAAAUUGCAAUUAAAGCAGUAAAUCCUAAAAUUGCUCAUUUGACCUUUUCCAAGUUUGCAUUCCCGGAUUUUUAAACCGGGGAUCAUUUCCUAACUCUAACAGGCAGCAAAACAUAAGCAGGUCUCUUUAACAAAACAAUAACAGCAGAUUCCGUAUCUAAAUUAGGAUCUACACAAUUAGUUAAUUAACAAGAAUUACAAUGAAUAUGAAAAGACUUGUCAAGAUUGGUGAUCUUAACUCUUAAAAUUAUCUAACAAUAGAGCAUAUAGGUACGGUUCACAAGCUUUCACAGCUAUAGAGGAGUUGGCGU
rnacentral:lncRNA from 1 species